CUCUGGGUCGGACAGGGCUAGCCAGCUGUAAUCCACCCUGCUACAGUGAUGCCCGCCUGCCUCCCGGCUUUUACGACCAAGAAUCGGAGCGCUGAUGUGAUGUUUCCCCGUCGACUGAUGAGGGAAGGAAGAGAAGGCAGCCACGACACGCGAUUGUUCAACAUGACAGUGAGACAGAAAAAUAAUGUCAAGAUAAAUAAAAAAUCAUGAUGAGUGAA